rnacentral:rRNA from 1 species
UAGGGAAUCUUCCGCAAUGGGCGAAAGCUUGACGGAGCAACGCCGCGUGAGUGAUGAAGGUCUUCGGAUCGUAAAACUCUGUUAUUAGGGAAGAACAAAUGUGUAAGUAACUAUGCACGUCUUGACGGUACCUAAUCAGAAAGCCACGGCUAACUACGUGCCAGCAGCCGCGGUAAUACGUAGGUGGCAAGCGUUAUCCGGAAUUAUUGGGCGUAAAGCGCGCGUAGGCGGUUUUUUAAGUCUGAUGUGAAAGCCCACGGCUCAACCGUGGAGGGUCAUUGGAAACUGGAAAACUUGAGUGCAGAAGGGGAAAGUGGAAUUCCAUGUGUAGCGGUGAAAUGCGCAGAGAUAUGGAGGAACACCAGUGGCGAAGGCGACUUUCUGGUCUGUAACUGACGCUGAUGUGCGAAAGCGUGGGGAUCAAACAGG